UACGUAGGGACCGAGCGUUGUCCGGAAUCAUUGGGCGUAAAGAGCGUGUAGGCGGCUAUUUAAGUCCUGCGUGAAAUCCUGCGGCUCAACCGCAGACGGUCGUGGGAAACUGGAUGGCUAGAGUGCGGGAGAGGAGAGUGGAAUUCCCGGUGUAGCGGUGAAAUGCGCAGAUAUCGGGAAGAACACCCGUGGCGAAGGCGGCUGGCUACACGAAUAUUGACACUGAUGCACGAAAGCGUGGGGAUCAAACAGG
rnacentral:rRNA from 1 species